UGUGGCCACCCAAGUACCUGAUGUGAAUGCUCUUCCGAGAUAUUCGUUCAUUGAGAAUCAUGGGUGCCUUGUGGAUGCCAAAGCUACGGCUUCCAGCUCGGGCUUCAUGCCUCGAUCCCAGGAAGACAAGAUCCAGUUCCAGCUGGAGGCCUUUAUGUUCCAGGAAGGAUACGGUCCUUCUAUCUACAUAACGUGUAUUCUGAAG